UACGUAGGGUGCAAGCGUUAUCCGGAAUUAUUGGGCGUAAAGAGCUCGUAGGCGGUUUGUCACGUCUGCUGUGAAAACUGGAGGCUCAACCUCCAGCCUGCAGUGGGUACGGGCAGACUAGAGUGCGGUAGGGGAGACUGGAAUUCCUGGUGUAGCGGUGAAAUGCACAGAUAUCAGGAGGAACACCGAUGGCGAAGGCAGGUCUCUGGGCUGACACUGACGCUCAUGCACGAAAGCGUGGGGAGCAAACAGG
rnacentral:rRNA from 1 species